AUUGAACGCUGGCGGCAUGCUUUACACAUGCAAGUCGAACGGCAGCGCGGGCUUCGGCCUGGCGGCGAGUGGCGAACGGGUGAGUAAUGCAUCGGAACGUGCCCAGUAGUGGGGGAUAGCCCGGCGAAAGCCGGAUUAAUACCGCAUACGACCUGAGGGUGAAAGCGGGGGACCGAAAGGCCUCGCGCUAUUGGAGCGGCCGAUGGCGGAUUAGCUAGUUGGUGGGGUAAAGGCUUACCAAGGCGACGAUCCGUAGCUGGUCUGAGAGGACGACGAGCCACACUGGGACUGAGAGACGGCCCAGGCUCCUACGGGAGGCAGAGGUGGGGAAUUGUGGACAAUGGGGGCAACCCUGAUCCAGCCAUGCCGCGUGCGGGAAGAAGGCCUUCGGGUUGUAAACCGCUUUUGUGCGGGAAGAAAUCCUCUGGGCUAAUACCCCGGGGGGAUGACGGUACCGGAAGAAUAAGCACCGGCUAACUACGUG
rnacentral:rRNA from 1 species